rnacentral:lncRNA from 1 species
UUUUUUUUUUUUUAGGUUAAAGACAAAUCUCAUUUUAUAAGAAAAUCUCUGUCUUUUCAGGCUAAAUUCUAACCAUCCUAAAGUUUUAAUUUUAACAUUAUAUUUAUUUUUAUAUUUUUAAUAUCUGAAAAAAUAUUCUACAGUGUAGUUUUAUACCUUUAUAUACUAAAAUUGUUAACUAAAUCCUAACACUUUAAAUAUAAAGUGAACAAAAUGAUUGGUGGAGAGUUUUUGAUAUUUUAAUCAAAUCCUAAUGGAUAAUUAUAAACUGGUUACGAUAUCCAUUUUGCAUUUUAAAAUAUGAGAAAGAUGUAAUUUUUUUUAAUGAAAAUAUACUUGGAAAUUUUUUAGGAUUUGACCGUAUUCAUGAAAACUAAAACUCUUUUUUUUUUUAAAAAAAAGAGGAAAUUAAUUUAAUUUUUUUUAGAUUUUUGAAUUUUAAUUUUUUUGAAAUAUUUUGAUGAAAAUCAGGUAUUUUAAUAUCGGAUCUGUAUUUUACAGUGUAAAUAUAUAAUCAUAUAUUAUGCAAAAUUGAUAGAAAAACAUCCAAGAAAAUCAUAAAAACUUUGAAAUGAUUUUUGGAUUUUUUUUUUUAAAAUAUUUAAUAUUAUAAUAUUGUUUAUUAAUAUAUUAUUAUUAUAUAUUGGGCUGGGCCCAGCUAUGUAGGCCGAGCCCAUCCUAGUUGGUUGGUGAUGAUGGUCGGUGGCUGGUCCAAAAGCUGAAGUCCAAACAUAUUGAUUCCAGUUUGCGAAAAGGACUUAGAACUUGCAAUUGUAUAAUGUGGGCCAAAGACCAGGCUUCGUAAUUUAGUUUUCAAAUAUCUUUCCAUUGUCAGGCUGGCAUUUCGUGCGUCAACGAAUGAGCCCAAUUCAGCUCCAAGGCCCUUUCCUUGUCUAACAACCAGGCUACCUGGAUCAGAUGCCCUGCUCUGUGCAUACAAGACUUGAACAUGAUCCGAUUUCAGAGUAGCUAAGGAAAAAUCAUGAAUCAAUUAGUUCCAUUAAGAUUUAAUUUUAAAGAUUUCUAAAAAGCCUUGUUUUAUAUCAUUUAUGUGGGUUUGUUGUUUAAUGAUGAAGGCUCUUACAAGAUUUCUUGUGGUGUCAAACUUGCACAAGUAUACUAGUAAUUUGUGCCGAAAUUUCUUAUUAUUAAUUUUUAAUUAAUAUGAAUGUUUGGGUUAACUUGCGCGCACCUCGACUAAUCUCACAGAUCUUGAAGCUAAUGACCAUGUAAACCUCCAGUGAUCCUGAGAUUUGUAAGACUCGAACUGGUGACCUCUAAAAAGUAAAUUUAGAGCUGGACCAGUUGAACUACACCCCUUAUCAUUGAAAUUCUUUACUUAAUUAGAAGAAUAAAAGAUAGGAUUUGAAAUUCAAGUCUUUAACUGUGUCAAAUAAUCAUUUUAAUCUAAAAUUUUAAAUUAUUUGAAAAAAUCCAAGAAUAGUUAUAAGCACUGCACGCCUAAAACUUGGGCAACCCCGUUCGUGUGUGCGUAUUUUUUUCUGGACAUAAACAUGAACACGGAAUAGGAAGGAUAUCACCACACUCAUUAAUAAUUAAGUCGUGCUUCGUUUUCAGAUUUAUAUUCGAUGCGUUUUACUUUAUCAAGUGUUUUCCAAAUUCCUUGGGGCUGAAAAUGCUUCAAAUUACUUCUUUCUAGUAAUUUUUAUGGUUUUGAUGUGAAAAUGUUGUAACUAUAAACAAGUUUUUUUCUUAAAUCAUCAAUUUGGUAAUUUGUUUAUCAAGAUAUUUAUGGGAUAAUUGCAUUUUGGUACACUAACUUUACACUUUUUCUCAAUUGAGUACAUGAAAUUGAGUAUACUGCCUUUUUUGGAAUUUUUCAAUUAAGUGCUUCUGUUCACUUGUCAUCAAUUUUUUAUAUUAGAUGAUGUGUUAUUUUUCCUUAAAAUGCUAUUAAUACUCUAAUUUUCAUUUUAUAUCAAUCAAGUAUAUGAAUUUUAAUAUUUUAAUUUUGAUAUAUCAAUGUUUUUUUUAUCAUCCCCAUCAAGAAAAUUUUUAUGAUGUCCAGAAAAUAACUAAUGGUAUCAUAGUAGUUAUUAUCCAAGUUCAAUUUUAAGAAAGAUAAACACAUGAAAAGGAGAGAAAAUCAAAUUCAAGACCCACAAAAAAUAAUAAAAAUAUCUUCACUUAAACAUUCUUUCUUCUACUUGUUUUUGCCUCUUUUUUAAAAAGUGAAUCCAAGAAAAAAACUAUUAGGAUGCAACUAGUUACUCUCUAAGCACCAUGAAAUUACUCUAAAUCAAGUACUUUAACUCAAUUUUUUAUUUUCUAAUAUGAGAUAUUUUUAGUAAAAGUAUCCUCUAAAAUAAGAUUAUUUAGAAAAAAAAUUAAAAUUAAAAUUAAAAUAAAUCCUUUCAAGAUGUAAUAUCUUUUCAAUAUUUUAGUAGAAAGUUCAAAUUAAAAAACAUAAAUUUGAAAUGUUAAAAACAGAGAAAACAUAUGGCUAAUCACAAAUUCACUAUAAUUUUCAUUUUGAUCUAAAAAUUUAUUUUAUUUAUUUUCCAGUUUCUAGUUUGAGAGAUAAGAUAUAAAGUUGCUGAAAAAACAUGAAAGAGAGAGAAAGUUUUCGGUUAUUACAAUUUUGAAAACCAAAAUGGUCAAAAUUGGUGUCAAAGGGUUUUAUUUGACAAGAAAAGUUCAAUGAUGAUGGUUUUUGAUCAUUAUCUUUCCAAAAAAAGUAAAUUGGGGCUUUGAAAGUUUUAUAGUUUUGAGUUGUUUUUGUGAUUUUAACAGAUUUUUUUGCUGCUUUAAUAGCAUGAAUGAGUUUAUUGAGAUUUAUAGGGUAUGUUUUUUUUUCAUUGUGUUCAUGUGAAAGAUUGGUUGGAAAAGAAGUUUUCGACCCAAAAGUCAAAAACCCGACUUUCUAAUGCUAUUUCUGUCACUUAAGGUAGUUGGGAACUAGGCAACAUGAGAUGCAUAUUUUUUCGCACCAAUGACACGUCAUCAACUUUAAAUUUUUUUAAAAUAAAAUGUAUACCCAUUUUAGAGAAAAACAUGUAAGCCCAUGCAUGUGGCCCUGAGUUUAGAGGCCUAAACAUGUUUGGGCUUAAAUAGAAGGCAAAUUUGAGCAAUGCCUAACCUUUCUUAUAUAUUUUUAGUUUACAUUAAUUUUCAGUUUUAAUUUAAAUAACAACCUCUCUCUGAUUUUUUAAAUUGAUUUGUUUAUUUUUUUAAAAUAGUAGUUAUUUUUUAAAAAAUUAUAUUUUGUAUUUUUAUAAUUUUUCAAAUAGAAUAUUGUCAUUUAUAUUUUGGAUAUAAAUAAACCAUAUUUGUAUGAUGUAUUUUUUUUUUAAUAUUUGUUCUUGAUGAGAAAAAAAUAACCUCUAAGAUAAAAAAAACAAAAAAAAAACACAUAAAUUCAAAAGAAAAGUGAGUAUUAAAUAUUUGCAUAAACAUCAAUCUUUUUUUUAGAAGAAUUAUUUACUUAAAAAUUUAAUAUUUAAUUAAUAUUAACAACUUUUUAAUAGUUGUUCGAUUCAACCAUUUUUAAUUUUUUUUACUAAACAUAUAUAACAUCUUUACAUUUUUCAAUUAAAAAAAAUUAUGAUACAAUAAAAUAUAUAUUUAAAAUUGAUAUAUUCUUUUAAUAUAUUAAAAAUUAAUUUGAAAUUUUAUCUAUAACCAACACAAGUUUUAAAACUAGUACUCGAAAAUAAAUUUGAGCCCAAUUGAGUACACUAACUUUACACUUUUUCUCAAUUGAGUACAUGAAAUUUGAAAUUUGAGUAUACUGCCUUUUUUGGAAUUUUUCAAUUAAGUGCUUCUGUUCACUUGUCAUCAAUUUUUUUUAUUAGAUGAUGUGUCAUUUUUCCUUAAAAUGCUAUUGAUACUCUAAUUUUCAUCUUAUAUCAAUCAAGUAUAUGAAUUUUAAUAUUUUAAUUUUGAUAUACCAAUGUUUUUUUAUCAUCCCCAUCAAGAAAAUUUUUAUGGUGUCCAAAGAAUAAUAGUAUCAUAGUAGUUAUUCUUUAAGCCAACUUUUAAGAAAGACAAACACAUGAAAGAGAGAGAAAAUCAAAUUCAAGACCCACAAAAAAUAAUAAAAAUAUCUUCACUUAAACAUUCUUUCUUCUACUUGUUUUUGCCUUCUUUUUUAAAAAGUGAAUAAAAAAAAAAAACUAUUAGGAUGCAACUAGUUACUCCCUAAGCACCAUGAAAUUACUCUAAAUCAAGUACUUUAACUCAAUUUUUUAUUUUCUAAUAUGAGUUAUUUUUAGUAAAAGUAUCCUCUAAAAUAAGAUUAUUUAGAAAAAAAAAAAUUAAAAUUAAAAUCAAAAUAAAUCCUUUCAAGAUGUAAUAUCUUUUCGAUAUUUUAGUAGAAAGUUCAAAUUAAAAAACAUAAAUUUGAAAUGUUAAAAACAGAGAAAACAUAUGGCUAAUCCCAAAUUCACCAUAAUUUUUAUUUUGAUCUAAAAUUUUAUUUUAUUUAUUUUCCAGUUUCUAGUUUGAGAGAUAAGAUAUAAAGUUGCUGAAAAAAAAUGAGAGAGAGAGAGAGAGUUUUUGAUUAUCACAAUUUUAAAAACCAAGAUGGUCAAAAUUGGUGUCAAAGAGUUUUAUUUGACGAAAGAAGUUCAAUGAUAAUGGUUUUUGGUCAUUAUCUUUCCAAAAAAAUUAAAUUGGGGCUUUGAAAGUUUUAUAGUUUUGAAUUGUUUUUGCUAUUUUAAUACCAUCAAUGAGUUUAUUGAGAUUUAUAGAGAGUUUUGUUUUUUAAAUGUAAUCAUGUGAAAAAUUGGUUGAAAAGGAGGUUUUUGACUCAAAAGUCAAAAACCUGACUUUCUGAUGCUUUUUCUGUCACUUAAAGUAGUUGGGAACUAGGCAACAUACAAUGCAUAUUUUUUCACACCAAUGACACGUCAUCAACUUUAAAUUUUUUAAAAAUAAAAUAUAUAUUUAUUUUAGGGAAAAACAUGUAAGCCCAGGCAUGUGGCCCUGAGUUUGGGCUUAGAUAAAAGGCAAAUUUGAGCAAUGCCUAACAUUUUGUAUAUAUUUUUAGUUUACAUUAAUUUUUAGUUUUAAUUUAAAUAACAACCUCUUUUUGAUUUUGUAAAUUGAUUUGUUCAUUUUUUUUUAGAUAGUAGUUAUUUUUUAAGAAAAUUAUAUUUUGUAUUGUUAUAAUUUUUCAAAUAAAGAAUUGUCAUUUAUAUUUUGGAUAUAAAUAAACCAUAUUUGUAUGAUGUAUGUUUUUGUUUUUUUUUAAAUAUUUGUUCUUGAUGAGACAAAAUAACCUCUAAGAUAAAAAAAUAAAAAAACACAUAAAUUCAAAAGAAAAGUGAGUAUUAAAUAUUUGCAUGAGUAUUAAAUAUUUGCAUAAACAUCUAUCUUUUUUUAGAAGAAAUAUUGACUUAAACAAUUUAGUAUUUAAUCAAUAUUAACAACUCUUUAAUAGUUGAUUGAUUCAACCAUUUUAAUUUUUUUUUAUUAAACAUAUAUAACAUCUUUAUAUUUUUCAAUUAAAAAAAAUUAUGAUACAAUAAAAUAUAUAUUUAAUAUUGAUAUAUUCUUUUAAUAUAUAAAAAUUAAUUUGAAAUUUUAUCUAUAACCAACACAAGUUUUAAAACUAGUACUCUCUAUAAAACAAAUUUAAACCCAAAAUUAAAAAAAUAGGCUCUGAAUGAUUAAAAAAAAAUACAACAAGACAACAGAAAAACUUAUGAAGUUUUUUUGUGCAUAUACAUACAAAGUUGUGAUUUUUGUCGUGUCUUAUGUCAAAAUUAAUGUUCCACCAAUUUUCCCUGGGACAAGCUUGUCAUAACCCCCUCGACAAAAUUUAUAUAAAAGAUUUUCAAAACUACUACAUAACCAUUCCCUUAAAUCCAAAAAUAGGUUUUUUUUUCUUUUUGAGUUGGAUUGUUUUUCAUAUGUUUUAAUUAUUUGAAUCAAAUUAAUAUAUAAAAAACAUAUUUCUUUUUUAAACAAAAAUAAAUUCAUCAUUUAUGAGAAUGAUAAAAAUAUUAAUUCAAUUUUCAUAAAAAUAAAUAAAUUAGAUAAAUUAUUUUUCUUAAGACAUCAAAUAUAAUAAAACUAAUAAUUUUAUUUUUGAGACUAAUCAAAUAUGUUACAAGUACAAAAAUAAUUUAAGAAUGAAUAGAUUGGUUAUUUUUAUUUUUGACUUGGAAAUAAUAACGGAUUAUAUUUGAUUAUAAAAGAUAAGAUAAAAGACAUAAUUGAAUAACCAUAGGAGAAUAAUUAUUUUUUAUGAAAAUUUAAAUAAAAAAAUAAAAGGAAUUAUUUUUAACAUAAAUAAUUAGUUUUGUUUAUGAAAAAAAGGAAUCAAUAAAAUAAUUAUUUCGUAUAAUUAAUUAAAAAUCUAUUUAUUUUAAAGAUUUUCAAAUUAUUAUUUCUACGUUCAUAUACAUGAGAGAAGAUAAAGGUAUUGUAGCCACUAUAGCAUUUCUUUUCUCAUGUUUGCAAAACGGAAAACAGAACAUUUAAUUGUCUGAUUUAUUUAUAUAUUUAUUUAUUUUAUAAAUUGUUUUCUAAUUUAGUCCAACGCAGCAAAUAAUUGAUAUAAAUAAUGUUUGUAUAAUUUGUUACUGAAGAAGACAAAACAAAUCAAUACCCACAAGCUCCAAAAGCAAUGACUCGGCACUCACAACUGGGUCACAUGGAGGACAAGAUUCACUAAUAAUAUAACCAUGCUGGUUCUCACUUAAUUUAUUGGUAACUCUUUUUUUUGGCUUUAGGCAUGGCAGGAAGCGAAAAUUGUUGACAACAUCUCGCUUCAUCAAUAUUUUUUUCAACAUCUAUUUAAUAUCUUGUUAUAUUUCUACACGCACCGUCGUAUCUUUAACUUUUAAUAUUUUGAAUAUUAAAAUUAUAAUGAGAUAAAAAAUAAAAAAUAUCUUCUUUAAAAGUCAAAACAACUGUAUCUUCAACAUGUACUAUAUAGGAGGUUGGGGCUGCUCAACUAUUGAUUCAACAUUACACACUGGAUUUGGUUUCCUAGGUUAAAAGUUAUUAAUAUUUUUCAUUUCUUUUCUAUAAAAAGAAUUAGUUCUUCUUGUUUUAUUUAUGAUUCAACUUGAAAUCAAAAGAUCUUAAAUUGAGAAGGAAAAAUGUGAGGGAUGAUCUUAUUAGGAUUUUCAUUAUCAAACUGGGUAUAUGUAUGUGCGCGCGCGCGCGUUUUAUUUAUUUUUAGAUGAUUAUACAUAAAAAAGACUUUAAUUCAAAUGUUGCAUGCUUCCAUGAUUAUGAAUGAUAAAACAUCAUGACAUGUGUUUUUGCUUGCUUGAAUGAUACAUAAAUGAAUAAUAUGAAACUUUAUAUCUUUUAUUCUUAGGAUUAAAUUGUGGUCUUGGGGUUUUAUUCUUAUGCUUGUUGUAUUUAUCAUUAUCUUCAUGAUCAUGCUAAAAAAAAAAUGUGUUUCAAAUCUCAUGCAUUUGGAUCAAACUUCUCUCUCUCUCACACACACACACAAAUAAGAAAGAGUUUUGGCAUUUAUUUAAAUUCUUCACAAGUUUAUUAAUUAUCAUGUCAUUCUGGUAUUUUUAUAUUUGCGUAACUUUUUUUUCUAAAAAAAAAAAGAAAUAUUUAUCAUAUUACAUGUUUAUAUAUUGAGUUUUUAUAACUUAUUUAUAAAACUUAUUGAGUUUAAUAAAAAAAGUUUUUAUAGGUUAAUAUUUCAAAACCCUUUUAAAAAACUAAGAUUAGUCUAAUCUAGUGUUUUAGUGGAGUCCUUACCAUACUAGACACAAUUGUUACGUUAGACGACGCUGUCAAUUGUUGAUGUUUUUAAAAUCUUAGGGCCCAAGAGUCACUGAGCACAAUAUUAUGGUCCUUUGUGAGUUUAUUGAUUCUCUUUUAAAUCAUCAUCAUCAUCAUCAUCAUGUGUAUGCUUGCCUAGCCUAUAUAUACCAUACACAUGUGAGCUUUGUAACAAGCAAUAUAUAUAUAUAUAUAUAUAUAUAUAUAUAUAUAUAUAUAUAUAUAUAUAUAUAUAUAUAUAUAUAUAAAGCAGUUUAAUUUGUUGCAAUUGACAAGCAAGAUAUGGGUGCAUUUGAGGAUUCCAAGCCUGCACUGGCUAUGUUAGGAAUGCAAUUCAGCUAUGCAAUUGUUUCUCUGAUCAUAAGAGCUGCUCUUAUACAAGGAAUGAGUCCUAGGGUCUUCGUUGUCUACAGGCAAGCUAUAGCAACUGUGGUCAUUGCACCUUUAGCUCAUUUCUCAAGGUAUUUUCUAUAUGCUUAAAAUCUUCUGUAUAUCUACACACACACACACACGCCCCAACAUUCGUUUGAUAUUCUCUUUCAAUCUUUUAUGUUCACGGAAGAAAAUCAGGUGGAACUUCUAUGGGAUUGAGGAGUUUUUCUUUGGUGUUUUCGGCCUCGCUUAUUGGGUAUGCAAGUGUAUAUCAGUCUAAUCUAAUUUUAUUAUUUGGCUUCUAUGUGUUGAAAUCGAGCAACACCAGCAGCAGCUAGCAUGAUCAUUCCUGACUUUAACCUGCCACAGUGUAACAAUCAAUCAGAAUGUCUUUGCUGAGGGACUAUACUUGGCCUCAUCAUCAAUGGCAAGUGCAAUGGGUAAUCUCGUUCCUGCAAUCACAUUUGUCAUGGCAUUCCUUAUCGGGUAAAUGAUUCUUACUUUAUUAAUGAUGGUUGAUGCACUGUUAAAACUCACAUACAAGGCACUAUUGAAGGUAGCAGCUAUCAACACUUUGAAUUAUGAGAUCAGUCGACAAGACUUGUAUACAAGGCCUAAAAGAAAAAUAAUGGGAUGCUUAGUUCCACAUAAAACAUAGAAAAAACCUCAUUAAUCAAUUAGAUUUUCACUUCUUAGGUUACAUACUCCAAAAUUAACGUGUAAUUAACACUUGCAAUUUAUUCUGAAAUUGAAUAGAUUGGAGAAGAUUAAUAUUCGAAGCUUCAGAAGUAUCGCGAAAAUAGUAGGAACAGUGAUAUGUGUAAGUGGAGCCAUAUCAAUGGCAUUGCUCAGGGGACCAAAGCUGCUUAACACAACCAUUUUUGAGUCGGGAGGUGAGGAUUGGUUGCUGGGUUGUCUGCUUAUUUUUGCGAGCACUUUUUGCUGGUCAAUUUGGCUGAUUUUGCAGGUGUGUGGAUCUAAAAUUUCUGCUCACUCAUUCAGAGAUCUUGUUUACUAAUAUAAGAUUACAAAUUAAUUUUAACAGGUUCCGGUUACAGCUAGCUAUCCUGACCACCUGUCCUUGUCAGCCUGGUUGUGUUUCUUGGCAACACUGCAGUCAGGGAUUCUGACUUUAUUCUUAGAGAAAGACUUGGAGGCUUGGAAACUGCAUUCAUACUUGGAAGUUGUUGGUUGUUUAUUCACAGUAAGUAGUUCUCUCUGUUCCUGAUAUUGGUAACAGGCUGGCAUUUUUUAUGCUCUAGCCUUGACAGAUAUCCCAAUUACUGAAGGUCAAAAUUUUCUGAUAUGAACACAGGGAAUUAUAGGAUCUGGGAUUUCUUUCUUUGUUCAGGCCUGGGUGAUUUCUCAAAGAGGCCCCCUCUUCUCUGCAAUGUUCAAUCCUCUAUGCACUGUUAUUGUCACUAUACUGGCUGCCAUUUUUCUCCACGAAGAGAUUUACACUGGAAGGUAAUAAUAGGAUUUGAACUUUUAUCUUUGUCCACCUUUUCUUUUCUUUCUAUUUGUAUACUGGGUUCUCAUCAGAGCCCUCUUUUGCAACAUGUCCAGCUUGAUAGGAGCAGUUGCUGUGAUUAUUGGUUUAUAUAUUGUGCUAUGGGGAAAAGCCAAAGACUUCACAAAGGAGGAAGACAAAGUCGAUCCAAAGCUGGAAAUUGAUGAAAGGCAGACAGUUAAAAUCACGAUUGAGGAGUCUAGAGGAGUCGAGCCUGUCUUGGAAGAGCCCCUUCUAUCUGAUAAAUCAAAUGACAUUGAAGAAAGCAGUAAUUUCCAUAAAAAAUAGAGUGGAUCUGUAGAGUGUAUCAUUUUGCAGUUCUUGUGAGAUUACAUAUUGAAAAAGUUUAUUACUCAAUUAGUGCACAGCAAAUUAGUAUUAUUUCACGAAACCUCCUGCAAGGAAGGAUGGUUUGGAAAAGACCUUGGACCUUCCCGAUGCUAUUUAGACAUUCCAAGCCAAACAGAGGACAAAAAGCUUCCAUCUCGAAGACCUGUCAGAACCAAUCCUGCUUAUGUCAGUAACACGUUGAAAACUCUUGUCUCAUUAGUGAUGAUCAGCCUGGUUCGUUCACCUCUGCUGUCCAAUUAACAUAGUUAAUUAAGAAGAUAACUACAAAGUCCUAAUUAAUCUUGCGCCGCCACUUAAUUAGCGGUUUCAUUUGUGUAAGGCGGCGCCAUUUCUAUAUGAUUGAAGUUUGAACAAUUAAAUUUAUUUAUUUUUUGUAUGUUUUUGAGUUUAAUCAUUCAAUACAUUUUAAAAAAUAUUUAAUCUUCAUCUAAUAAUAUUAUAAUUAUAAUUAUAUAUAUAAAAAACUAAUAGCCCUCACUGUAGAUAGUGAGAGGAAGCCCUGUGCUUCUUCUUUUUUUAAUCCCUGAGAUUCUUUACACUUUAAUCUCUAAAUUUCAUUGUUUUCUAAAUUGGUCCUUCAAAAUUGCCUUGAUUUGCCAUUGGUCUUAGUAAUUUGUUUUCCAAGAAUGCAUAUGGGGAUCUCGAGGUGUCGAGAAAAUAUUUCGUACCUCAACUUCUUUUUUUUUUCAAUUUGAUUACAUUAUAUUGGAUUUAUUUGAGAUUUGACUUUGUAAUAUGUUUUUGUUAUCUUGAUACGGAGAUCUUACACUACCAAAAAACAAUUUUUGUGCUCAGUUUUACAAAAUAAAACAAAAAUUAGCUAUUUAAAAUAAUUGUUAAGUGACUAAAUUGAAACAAAAAUAAGUAUAGGAAUUAGGGUAAACAGGCAGGGAAUUAAUUUACUGCAUGCAUCGCAUAUGCUAGUAGGUAAGAGGCAUCCAUAGUCUUUAAGAGGUGAAUGAGGAAGCUCUUAGGUGGUGCAAUAUGUGUAGGUGGUGGCAUGGAGGUUUGGUUGUGGCGAACUUUUUUCGUGUCCUUUUUCUUUUCUCUAUCAUCUUUUUAGGAAUCGCACUGACCUUUAUAAUUUCAAAGGUAUCCUGUCAUUUGUAUUUUGUAUUAAAUUUUAUCUUCAUUUUUUUGAUUACUAUUUAUUUUGUUUUGAGUCAUUUUUUCAAUUUCAUCUAUUGGCAUUUGACUUCAUUUAUUUUUAUAUCAAAUUUAGUCCUUAUUUUUUUAUUGCUAUUUCUUCCCAUUUUUUUCUUGAUUGAUAUUUUUUUUUAAUUUUAUCCAUCAGCAUUUGGAUUCAUUUUAUUUUUACCUCAUAUUUAUUUAUUAUUAUUUUGAUUGCUAUUUGUUUUGUUUUUUUUUAUCCUUUUUAUCGAUUUUUUUUAAUUUCACCCCUCGAUAUUUUAUUGAUUGAGGAUUUGGCUCCAUGAUUUUUUUGAGUUUAUUUUCUAUGGGGUUAGUUCAGACCUCAUGACCCAGGUCAUGUAUUUAAAAAAUUAGUAUGAGUUGACUUCAAUAUUUUUUUGGUUCUUUUUUAAAAUUGAUUUUCUUUCAAUUUCAUUAUUUAAUAUUGGGUUAGUUGGGGAUUGAGUUUUGUGAAUGUUUUCAUUUUAUUUUUAUGAAAUUAUCAUAAUCUCAUGUCGUGGGUCACAAGCUUAGUAGGUUAACCUAAGUUUACUUGGGUUUUUUUUUCAUUGUUUUUUUUUAGAUUGAUUUUUUUUCCAGUUUUGCCCUUCAACAUUGGAUUAUUUGAGAUUUAAGCGUCGUUGUUUUAUUCAAUUUACUUUCUUCAGGGUUAUCUUAAUCUCACUACUAGAUUGUGCAUUCGGCAGGUUGAUUCGAGUGAACUUAAGUUGUUUUUUAUUCUAUUUUUAAUUUGAUUUUUUUUUAAUUUUCUCCUUGAACAUUUAAUUUUUCUUUGUUAUUAAUUAUUGAAAGAAUAUUUUUCUAUAAUAUUGAAAAGUAUUUAUUUUUGAGAUGUUCAUUAUAUAUAAUACAAUGAUGGUAAGUAAACCAAAAUAUAUAUAGUUUGAUUUACUUAUUAUUGUUGUUUAUUUUUUUUAAUUAUAUUAUUAAAUUAAAUUCGAGUUUUAAUUUCUAUUUCAGUCAGGUAUUGCCGAAAAAUUACUAUGCCUACCCUGAAAAUAGAAGGUUGUAUUUUUCAAACAAAAAGUUUAUAUUAUCGUUUAGUACGAAAGAGAAGUCACCAAAAUCCUAAGGUUUCGAUUAUUUAAGUAUCCUUUUAAAUUCAAUUAUUUAUUAAUAUUCUUAUUCAAGUUACCUAAAGUAAGAGAUUUUUUAAUUUUUUUUAAUUUUGAAAUUUAAUAAAUAGAAUCAUUUUAAAAUAAUUCGAUAACAUCAUAACAUUUAGGUACAAAAAUAUUUUCAAAAAGUAAAUUAUUUUACCUGAUGCAAAAAGAGUUGAAUUCUAGAAUAAAAAACUACAAUUUUAGCCAAGGAUCCUAAUCUUAUCAUACGUAUACAUGUGAAGUGGGAGAGCGAACGUGGGCUAGCACUCUUAGACCAUGUAAAGCAACUUGGUCUAAAGAGUGAUCAAGCAGGACCAUUUCUUUCUUUCUUUUCUUUUUCGUGAAACACAGGUUCUGAGCUAGUUAUUGCGCACCAGACCAUAUUCCUGCGGCCAGAAACUAGCCCUUACCCAGAUCUUAGCCUAUAGCUCGUGAGUUCUCUGAUUGGUAAUGCGGUUUAAAAAAUUUUAAUUUUUUUUUAUAUGAUUUUAAUUUUAAUUUUUAAAAAUAAAAAAAAUUAUUUUGAUAUAUUUCAGCACGAAAAAUUAUUUGAAAAAUAAUAACAACCACACUCCCAACCAAACUAGCUGACUAGAUAGAAAUAGUUUACUGUAACAAUGUUAUGCUAUGACUUGAAUAAAAAAAAUUAACAUAAAAAUAUAUAUUCAGAUUACAUAAAAUUAUUUGAUAUUUUUAUUAAAUAUGAUAUUAUAGAUUAAUCUUAAAAUUUUUAAAUCUGAUUUUUUAUUUAACUCGAAUUUAAAAUUAAAUUAAAUAGGAGUUGUCAUGAUAUAAACUAGUUAAUUUAAUAAUAUAUUAUUUUUUUAAUUAUAUUAUUAAAUUAACCAUGUUAAUAUAUAUAUAUAUAUAUUAACAUCACCUGCACGUCUUAUAUUAGAAAAUUUUGAAUCGGCCAGCACGCCUAAUCUAGUGGACGCUAGAGUGCAUGGUUUUUCUAUUUUUCUAAGAAUUAGAUUGAAAUAUGCCUUAUUUUUUAAUUGAAGCAAUAUGCGACCAUAAAGAGGGUUGAUGUGACACGAAUAUUGUCAAAGACCAAUAGCUAUUUGAUCAUUGGAUUCGAAUUCAUUAUUGUUUGGUUCCAUGCCAAGUGAUGUGGCUUUGUCUAGGCUCUAGGUUUAUUUAAUCUUUUGCUUUUCUUAUUCUCUUCGCUGCUCAUGGUUCCAUUGCAGCCUCUCUGUAUGCCUUCACAAAGUUAUUUUAAUGCUUUCCAUUGCUUGGGGGAAAGAAAUCUUAUAAUUAUCUGGAGUUAAUUUCUUCGAGUAAUAAAUUUUAGGGUUAUUAAUUUAUAUAAUUAUUAACUUUAAAAUCCGUAAGAUUAGUUAAGAUAUAUGUAAGUUAGUUCGAACACAUACUAUUAAUAAAAUAAAAAAAUCUUAUAAUUAUUUUCCUCCGAUCCUGUGAUUUAACCGUCAUUUGUAUUUGGCCCUCGGUAUUAAUUCUAGAAUAAGAACCAGCCUAUGGGAACGACGCCAGCCCAUAUGGUUAGGUUGUCAUAUGCAAGAAUCAUUCUGAAUUUUCUUCACGGGCAUCAUCCAGUGGGGCUCGUCUUAAUUAUAAUUCAGACAUGGUCGCCUUUCAAAAUCGAUGUAACAAUUUCUUAUUUCAGAAGAGUGGAACAAAAGAUUGGCCCAUGGAGGUAUGGCUGAUUAGCGUUUAUAUUAACAGAACAUGAACAAAGAGGAAACAAGCACAGCAGUAACAUCCUGGUUUCUGAUUUCCAGAAGUCCUUGUCAGAUUAAAAACAAGAAAAAACGAGACACAUGAAUGUGGGAAGUCUGUUCUUAAUUUUGUCUCUCUUCCUUAACUUCGAUUUUUAAUUUACACUGGCAGAAAGGUUUAUAAUACUAGGAAUAUCAUUGUCACCUUCUGCUGAUACCUGGAUUAACGAUUCUCUUGUCCAUGUAAGAGCACUGCAUACACGUGAGAUGAGGUGUGUGCAUCAGUGCAUGUCACAGCAGAACUUUUAUCGUUGCCCUAAUAUCAAGCCUUGACAGAGAAAAAAAAAGGGUGGAUUUGAUGAUUACAGGCCUGCAAUGGCUAUGUUUGGGCUUCAAUUUGGUUAAGCAGGAAUGGCUCUCGACUACUAGUUUAUAAGGAUUCCAGGCCAAUAGUUUUGAGUGGACUUGCUCUUACUUUUAUUUUUUAUUUGUGUUUGUUUUGGUGUUAAAAACAUGUUUUUUAAGAAACUUAAAUCUAUUUUUAGUUUUAAAGCAAAGUAUAUAUAUAAAAAAUUUGAAUAGAGUUUUAAAAAUUAACUACUUAAAUUUUAAUAAUGGAAGAUGAUUUUUAUAAAAAUAAUUUAAGGGUAUAUUAGUUUUUAUUUCAAAAAGUAUGAGAAGUGAUAUAUAUAUUUUAAGACAGAAAAUUAGGGGUUCUUUUUAGAUUUUCAAACAAACAAUAAUAAAAGAUUUUCCACUACCAAAAUCAGGUUUUUUUUACGUUGAUUAUUGUAGAAGAAUAAAUCACUAAUUUAAGAAGGUCGUAUAUUACAAUUGAUCUUAUUCAAAAGGUAGAAGAAGGUAUGGUUCUGCCAGAGCCUUGAGCUGCCUUUAAUAGUGCCAACUAUUUACACUGUUUCUCAUCCUUACUGGUGUGGGAUAAGCUCCAAGCCAUAUCUCUGCUGAUUUCCUCCUCUUACUGUAUUGGAAAAUCUAAGCCUCAAGCAGCACAUGUUGAGUUGUAUGUUGACCAAUUGCUAUCAUUCUGUUGAACCUGACAGAAAACUUGAGCAUGCUUUAGGCCACAGUCAUUUUUGCUACUUAAGAAAGCAUUGGUUCUGUUCUUUUGAAGUGGAUGCCUGUUAUUCUACUCCAGUCCCUGAAAUUAAUCAGAUUGGAGAAAGUUUAUAUCCGAAGCUUGAGAAGUAUUUCCAAGAUUCUUGGGAAAGUAAUGUGUGUUACAGGAGCCAUUGCAAUGGCACUACUCAAAAGGCCCUAAGCUGUUAAGCAUUAACAAAGUACUGUUACAACCGAGAUCCUUUUUGAGCCCUGGAGGCGACGAUUGGUUAUUGGGGUGUCUAUUUCUCUUCGGAAGCAGUUGUUUCUGUUCAUUUUGGAUGAUCUUGUAGGUAUACAACUUCCCUUUCAAUUACUGAUCGAUCAUGGGAUAUCCUGAUGACUAGAUUUUUUAUUCAAUUUAUCUACAGGUACCUGUAUCGGCAAGUUGCCCUUGCAUGGAUGUGUUUCCUCGCAUCAUUGCAAUCAACUGCGAUUGCAUAUUAUUCGCCGAAAAAGAUCUUGCUGCUUGGAAGCUGAAUACACAUCUUGAAAUUGCUUCCUGUUUAUACGUGGAAUGCAGUUUUGUUUUUCCAAUGAUUGUUUUCAUAUUGCGUUGCUUGUAAUUUUGGACUUGACCCUUUUAUUUUUGUUACAGGAAACUGGACUAGCUGUGUCAUUCUUUGUUCAAGCCUGGGUAAUUUCUAUGAGAGGUUCCCUGUUCUCUUCAAUGUUCAAUCCUCUAUGCACGGUUAUUGUCGCCAUUUUCUCUGCUAUAGUUCUACAUGAAGAGACAUAAACUGGAAGGUAAUAUCUUUUCCCCUAUCAUUUUCUUCAUGUUUAACUUUUAUGACGUGGAACCUGGCUGUCACAGAUGUUAGAAGAGAGUGCAACGGUAUUAUUACCUUCAAGAGGACGACCAAAGGUCUUCUAAGGUUCAAAUUUUGUCCCAAUCUUGAUAUUUUUUAAGGAUAGGAAGGAUCCUUGCUUUCCUUCCUUGGGUCUCCAGCCAUCAUGUGCCAACAAGGAAAUUAUCUCACCCAUCCACCCUACCAUACUACCUAACACACAAAUCCAGGCAAACAUCCGAAGUCUGGAAAGCAAAGAAAUCUUGUGUUAAUUCUGUUGUCAGUGAACAUGAGAAAACAGUGCAGUUACAGUUUUAGAACACAUAAGCUGUAUUCUAAGGGCUACCUUAGUAGCUCCAUCACUGACCAAAUGGUAGUCUAUGUUGUUUUAGUCCAUGUUGAUUUUGAGUUUUGUAUUUCCUAUCCGUUAAACAGAUGAAAAGAUACGAACCAAGUUGAUGCAGCAGGUCAUGGCAAUGGGCAGCCUAAGCAGUGAAAUAUUAAAUUUACCCAGCUAGCAAACGUCCCUAUACAACUGUCUAAACUUUGAAUUAUGUUGAUAUUGACAUGUCUUAUUCUUUAAAUUUGACAGAAUGGAGAAAGCUAACAUCCGAAGCUUGAGAAGUAUCGGAAAAAUAGUAGGGCAUGCAUCUGUGUUAGUGGAGAAAUGUCCAUGGCACUGCUCAAAGGACCAGAACUGCUUAACACAGAACUUCUACCAGUAAAAUCUUCCAGUACUGGUUCUGGAAGCAAGACUUGGUUGUUGGGUUCAAUAACCCUCUUUGGAAACAGUUGUUCAAUUGUAAUCUGGAAGAUCAUGCAGGUAUUUGCUCUGUGAGUUCAUUCCCAAAUUGCCUGCUGUGUCAAUAUUAGUGAAAUCACAUAUCUAGGUCUACAUGUUUGCUGAAAUUCAGAACAGGUUCCAAUAUCAGCUAGGUGUCCUGAUCCCUUACUCUCUACUGUUUGGAUGUGUUUCUUCGGAUCCCUACAACAAUAGCAAUUACGAUCUUCAUAAAACCAGAUCCACAAGCAUGGAAACCGCAUUCAAUUCUUGAGUAUGCUUGUUUACUCUACAUAGAAUGUAGCAUGCUCUCUCAGUACUCUUGUCUUGUUGCACAUAUUUUGUUAAUUCAAAAUCAUAAACAUGUCCUUCCAUGGUCUAUUUAAAUUGCUGUGACCAAAACCUUUGUUGACCGGUGAAUUGCUUCUGCAAGCAUCAUUAUUCUUCAAACCUGGUGCAUUGCACAAAGGGGACUACACUUCUUAGCAAUGUUCAAACCUCUGCCACCGUUAUUGGGACCGUCUUAGCUGCUACCUUUCUACAUGAGGUGAUCUACACGUCAAGGUACAUAACUCCUCGGAAUGUUUUCAUGACAAUUUAUUUUCUUUAUGAAGAAUUCUGUUAGUUAUAAAAAGAAACAAGUAUGAAUAGCUAAUUAAUGCUGAUAAUAUUGGUCAUCUGAUAUAUUUAUCUCACUUCAGCUUGUUAGGUGCUAUUGUUGUGAUUUCUGGUUUGUAUAUGGUGAUAUCGGGUCAAGCUUCAGACCAACAGGAGAUCAAACAAGAGACAAAUUUUGUGCCACAAGCUGACGGGAGAAAUAUUCAGCAAGGUUCUAUGGAUGAAUCUUCAGGACAUAACAUCUGUAAAAAACAUUUGGAAGAGCCACUUCUAUAUGAAAAACUCCCUAAUGUAGACAAAGUGUGAAGAAUCUGAAUGACAUCCUCAAAUUUAGUUUUUUUCCGAGAUACAAAUUUCAUGUCGAAAUAUCCUAGUGCUAUGCUUCACUCAGGUUCCAUCUUCAGAACAACUCUUCUGUGGUUACUUUCUGAAAUUGUGAUGUUCCCCGUCUCAUCAAAGUUUUAUAUAGAACAAAGUAAAUCCCCUGAUAUAAUAGAUGACACAUACACGAGCAAUCGAAGACAGAGAGAAUGGAUUUCAGAACUCAUAUUAUAGCCAACCCGAAAAGGUAACACUAUAUUGAACUCUGUUCAUUUUUUAAGUGUUCAGUGUUUCUAUUGAUUGACUUCACAUUUCAACUAUAAAAAUCCUCCUAAUUAUUGCAGUUUUACUUCUCAAAGUUUCUGGAUCAAUAUAAUAAUGCAUGUAGUCAAGUAGAAAACUAAUAAUUUUUAAGGAUCAUUCCUUUUUAUCGAGGCAAAUCUGCAACAUAUAAUCUUCUUAUGCAUUUCCAAUUCAACAAAAAACAUUUCCACUCAAGAUUAUUGAAUUUUCACUUUGAAGGCAUUCAAGUCGACAUGUGUAUUAGGCAUUUAAAAAAUGAUGAUAUCAAAGAUCAAUUCAUGAUAUUGAGGGAAGAAAAGUGUAGGAUAUAGAAUUGUAAUGUUAACUUUUUUUCGAAAUCUAGAAAGCUACAAUUUUGCUUGCCACCAUGUUGAUUUGCAAGAAGCAGAUUCUACAGAUGACAUGAAUAGAUAUCAGUCCAUGAAGAAGAAAAUUGCUGACAUUACCAAACUCAAAGACUGACACAGAUCAGAAAAUGAGAAAUAAAUAUCAUUGACAAUUAUUAAAAUAGUUAUCCACAUCCAGAAACUGUCUAAGUAGGACUGGAACUUUCAAAUUCAGCUCAAUUUUUUCUCUGUGCCCUUUCUUUUCGACAUGGUUCUGGUAAUGACUUCGGGAUCCUGUUCGAAAUAUGAAAUACAGUGAUAUUUGAAACCUACACAUAAUACCAUCUCAAGGAAACAUAUCCCAUUGCCUGUCUAUUUUUGUGUGGCAUUAGUUACUGAAAACCGACUAUUGAAUUCUUAAUUAUGCUUCACAGUCUGAGCAAUAGAUGAAUAUGUGCCCACAGCACCAACAACAACUGACAUUAGCAUUAUUGUCAAGAUACCUGCUAGCUCAAUUCCCCAUUUCUGAUAUACUUUAAAAAUCUUCAAGUAACAUGCACAUGGGAGGAAGAAUGAAACAAUAACGAUGAGAGCCGCUCCACUUAGAGAUGUCAAGGACUGAAAAGAUGGAAAUACCAUGGCCAUAACUACUGUGCUAAUUAACAAAGACAUUCUGACAAGAAUACCUAUCGACUUACUAUCUUGAUACCUGUCUGGCAAAACACUUUCAAUUGCAGUGGCAAUCGGUGUUAUUGUUAAUGCAUACUUGGCAAUUGGACCUGCCAAUAUGCUGUAUAUUGCUAUCUUGGAGCUGAGCUUUUGCGUAGGUAGAUUUAAUGUAACUUGAGAUUGCACAUUCUGACCAUAUAUAAGAUAGCCCAAUACGGCCAUAGAUAAGUUGGUGAUAGUACAUAUGACAAAACUUACAAACAUGACCUGCAAUUGGAGCAACAAAGAGAAAAUCAGUAGUUAGUCACCACUAGCAACAAAGAGAAACUUGUAUGUCUAAUUCUUGCAUCAUUAGGCAUAUUGAAUUGACAACUACAAGUCAUUGAAGUGAUAGAAAAGACACCAAACCUCACCUUGGAAAACUGGUUUUUCUUUCUCAUUGAAUUGUAUAUGCUAGGGAACAAUGCAUGAGCACCAUAGCAAAAAGCGUACAAACUGAGUGCAGUAGGCACCCCUUGUAAAUUUAUCAGUGAUCCUUUGCCAUGAAAUCCAACCCCUUUAGUCACACCAACACACAAAACACAAACAACUACAACCAGAGAAGACAGCACCCCGCAGGCCGAAACAUAGGACAUAACACCGAGGUUACUUAGCCACAUAGUAGGCAAGAUCAAAAUACCUGAAAGAAUAACAAAAGAAUGCCUGCCAUCUAUAGAAAGGCUUCCCAGCUUUAAUGCAAAGUUCGGAGAAAGCUUAUGCAAGCUGUCCCCUUCCAUUAUUAAAAAACCAGUGGCGACAAAAUAAAGCUCUAAAGAGGUGAAGAAAGACGCUACUAAUUUUCCUCUGCGUCCAAAUGCAUGACUGGCAAUGUCAGAAUAACUUGUAACAUUAGGAUUUCUAUCCAUGCAUCUGCGCAUCAGAAGUCCAGUAAAGCAGGCUGCAGCCGCAAUCAAGAUCAGCAGGAUCAAGCUUAACCAGCCUCCUGCUGAAAGGGCAUACGGAAUGGAUAGAAUGCCAAUUCCUGAGACAUGAAAUAAAUCGCAAGCGCGCUGUCAGACAAAUAUCAACGCAAAGCCAUCUACACUGUAGGAAUUGUUGGAGUUUUGCAUAGAAUAGAUCCUGUUUCCCUGUAAAAAGCGGGUUUAUAGAGAAUUUGCGAGAUCGAAAGCAACAAACAAUGUUGCUACACUUUUCUUAAGAAAGUAUGAUCUUCAUAUUUUUCUGAUCAUCUGUUUUUUUUUUUCUUAGUUCAGUUCAAUCAUAUUGAUACUAGCUCUUCAAUACAGUAAAAAAAUACUGCAUCUUUUUCAGCCUUCGAGGCUCGAUUGCCGAAUUUUAGCUCUAUUGGACAGUAUAGAAAAGAAGAGAAAUUAAAAGGAAACAAGAAGAAAAGGAUGAUUGUUAAUGAACAUACCUGAAAGAGCGUUGAUGCCAUUAAUGCAAGUCUUUAGGAAGCUUACUUGUUUAUUUUCCAUUGUUUCUCAGAAUUUUUGUUCACUUUUUUAACCAUGUGCUAAAUAAAAUGAAGGGUUUCGUUUCUUUUUAUACAUCUCUCUCAAUGCAUAUUGUAUGAACUCAGUGAUCAGGAAAAGGAGAUGGAAAGUAGGGAUCUAAGAAGAUACCUAGUUUCCUACGACUACUGAGAUACUGCACAUUUUACGGAAGGAAUUCAUCAGGAUAUUUGUUAGCACUAAUUGUGUUUUCGGUUUUACCUUAAUUCUUGUCUAACAACCUUGCACAUUAUCCUAAUUUAUCAUUUUUUCAAGCAAAGAAAUUCUUUUCUAACAAUCUUGUAAACCUUGGAAUGGAGGGUGAGUGAUGUAGGAGAUUACAGUAGAUUUGAGCUGUUACAUAUGGUAUUGUUGCCAUUCAACUACAUGAACAUUCAGUAGAUAUGUUUAUGUACAAGUCUAUAAAGAAAUCUGAAUGCGUUAAACAUUUUUCUGAUGGAAACAUAUACAAUUUUUUAUCUAAUUAUUUGAUCGUGCUUAUAUUUUAUCGAGAUGCUUGAGGGGCCUUGUUGCCAUUCAACUACAUGAACAUUCAGUAGAUAUGUUUUUUUCAUAUUUAAGGUUAAUUAUUUUCCUUGUAAUAUGACUAUAUACAGCUACGAUUCAUUUUUUUCAAUAAAAAUACAGUUUUAAAAUUUUAUGGGAAAGAAUAAAAUUGAUGUUGUAUCUCUCAAAAAUCGUCUUUCUACAAAGGCGAUAUUUUAGGAGUGGCUGAUGAUCAGUCACGAUGAUUUAUCAGAAGGGAAAAAAAAACCUAACAGGAGCUUAAUAAAAUAUAAAAGAAAUCAUUUAUUUUUUUGGUUAAUUUAUUGGAAGAUUUAAAUAAAAUAGAAUAAAAUUUGUCAAAUCCCCUCCCUUUCCGUCCCUUCUAUAACAAAUUUAUGAGAUGCACCUACAUCCAGAAUAUUUUCUAAGAAGGUCAUCCACCAAUCAAUCACUAAAAUCAAAAUAAUGGAUUUUAAGGGUUUUUUAUUAUAAAAAAAGGUUCAAUUUUGAUUAUUUUUUUUAUUCUGAAGAUAGUUUAUAGGUUUGUGCUAUGUGUGUCAAAUCCAAAUUUAUUUGAACAUUGCAAAAAUUAUUAAAUACGUAAAAACUAUUUGAUAUUUUUAUUAAAUUUAAUUUAGUGGAUCAACUUUAAAACUUCAUGAUUUAAUUUAUUAUUUAACUUAGGUUUAAAAUUAAAUCGUAUACAAGUUCUCCCAACAUAACUAAAUCGACUAAGUUGGUUCAAAGACAUCUUGACCGACCGGUAAAAAAUGACUGGGGAUAAUAGAGAAAAAAAGACGAAAUUGACAUAAAAAAACCUCUCAACCCAACUUUUUGCCUAGCUUGAGUUGAAAAUUAAAUUGUGUAAGAACUGUCCUGAUGUAACUCAAUCAACUUGAUCAAUAAAAAAAAUCUAGGGAUAAAAUUGAGAAAUUUUUUUGAUGAAAGGCAUCCCUUCCUCAUAGAACAUUGUGAAUUGGAGUAGUGUCUCUCUUUUUUUCCGGUUAUUGUUUUGCUUCAAUCAUCAAUUUUUUUUUUCAAUUUCAUUCUUUGAUAUUGUGUUGAUAUGCAUUUGGAGUUGAUGAUUUAUUUUGAUUUGCUUUUUAUGUUGUUAUUGAGAUCUCAAAAAAAAUAUCCUAACAUCAAAUUAGUGAUCAAUUUCACAAAAAAGAAUUCAAUUUAUUGUUUGCAAGAGAUUGAAAAUAAAAGGACCAGAAUUGAUAAAAAAAAUAACAACCCUUUUUGUUUCUUAACAAAACUAUGGUGUCGACUUUGGUCCUUUUUCUUCUUUUUUUUUUGCUUUACAAUCGAUUUUUUUUUAAUUUUAUCUUUUAAUGUUGAGCUGAUUGAGAUUUGAGAUUCAUAAUUUGUUUUGAUCUACUUUUUAUUUGGUUAUCUCGAUCUAAAAAAAGUCUCGAUAUUGGGUUGGUACUUAAUUUCACGAUAAAAGAAUCUGGUUUUAUUUUUUGAAAAAAUUGAAAAUGAGAUUACAAAAUUGAAAUAAAGAAAAAAUAAGGCCCUUUUAAAAUAAAAUGGUGAUAGGGGCUUUUUGCUUAAUUUUUCCUUAGGAUAUUUUCAAGUUUUUUUUAAUCCUUUUAGCUUUGCAAUUAAACAAUUUAGUUUAAAAUUUUAGUUUUUAAAUUUAAGAGUGGAGAGAGAGAGAGACACUGAAAAACAUUUGGAUGAGAAAGAAAAAUGUUGAUUGAUUGGAUUUCAAUAAUCAAAAAAAGCUAAAUUUGAUGUCAAAGUUUUUUUUUUUUGGCAAGAUGAGUUUCAUUAAAAUGUUUUUGGAAUUUUUAAUUUUCUGAAAUAAUAUAUUAGAGUUGAGAUAAAUUUGUUUCCCAUUUGAUUUUGUAUUUUCUAAUUGAUUUUGAAUUUUUUUAGUUGAGGAAUUAUUUUUUCAAGGUUAUCAAAGUGUUUUUAAAUGAAAAUAUGUAAAGAAUUAAGUUUUUAAUAGAAAAAAAUACCAACACAAUUUUAGCCACCUGGUCAAAAAUUAGGUUUGCUAAGCGUACAUGGUUCGCUUGUUUUUUUUUUAUAUAAAAAUAAUGGGUGGGCAAUUUAAAGAAAAAAAAAGCUCGGGCCUAAGCUAACAUGCACCCACACCUAAGCUUGUUUUAUGGCCUAGGCGUGUUGGGUAACCAGCCCUAUAUGGCUAGCCCCUUUUUUUAAUAUUUUUUAAAAGAAAUUGAUUUAAUUUAAAAAAAAAAACCAAACUAAUAGGACUUAACUUACAAGUAUGAAUGCAGAAUGGGACUUGUUAAAAAAGAGGAAUUUUAAUGGUAGGAUGUAUGGUUACGAUGAACCAAUUAGAAAGGUAUAUAUAGGAAUAUAACAAAAAACAAUUACAGUAUUCAGUUAUUUAAAAAAAUUUAUUUCAUGUGGCACUUAAUUUUCCUUGAAAAAGACGAGGAAGAAUAAAAAAAAAUUAUUUUUUAUCUUAAAUUUUUUUUUAUUUAACAUAAAAUGAAUCUCUUGAAAUUAAUUCCUUGAAAAAAUAAUUCCUCAACUAAAAAAAUAAUUAAAAAUAGCAUACAUAAAAUUAGUCUAGCUUUUCACUAUCCAUAUCAAAAUUAGGAUUUUUUUUUCGCAUUUUAGUUUGAAAUUUAAAUCCUAAUAAUUAAGAAAGGAUACCUUUAAUCAUCUAUGGAGUCCUUUGUGCUAGAUAAAGACGUUCCAAAAUGCAUUUCAAUUUGUUUUGUAUGAUUUGAUCUUCACCAAACUUUGAGACAAGACAGUACUUUGGCAUGUACACCUUUCUUCUCACUGUUCACGUCGAAAGACUUUUCAGAGAAAGUCCUUGUCCUCUCGUUUGCAAUCAACACGCUCGAGGAGAAAUAUUUACCAUUUUUUGUUGAGUUUACACAUCGCACCCAACAUUAAGUAUCUGGAAUAAGAAAUGGGAGCCCUGCAAUUAAUGGUGUGUUUCCACUCCUGCAAAAUAUGGCAGCAACCGCUCACAAAUAUAAUGAAAUCAGUCUUCUGCAGAAGCAAUUAGCAGGGAUCAGUUUGUAACCACAGAAUCCACACCUAGAAACCGAAGAAACCCAGUUUCCCUGACCUUAUUUUUUUAUCAGCAACCGCUCACCACACCAUGGUAAGAAAUAUAUUAAAGGAAUAGUAUUAAAGCUGCUUCACAAUGUCAUCUUCGCCUAAGAAACAGUAUAAACUAAUGCAUGGUUUGGCAACUGAUGCAUUAAACAAAUCAGAGAAGAAUGAUCAAACAAGGUCUCAGAUAUAGAAAAUGUGAGCUCCGCAGAGCAUACAAGGCCAUAUAUAACCAAUAUGUUCCAAAGAUACUAAAAAGAAAAGCAUAAGAACGCUAUACAAAGAAACCAACUGUGGAGAAAAAAAAUAUAUAACAUCGGAGUGAGCAGCAAAUAAGUAUGCUGCCUACAACUAAAAUCCUAAGCAAUACUAUCUGCAUCCAUGCUAGCUGCAAGAAUUCUCCAAGUUAAGGGUGCUUCCAUCCAGCAGAGUAAGCAUUGUUGUCCCUUCUGUUGUUCCUAAAAGCACAGCAUCCGACGGAGUACACAAUGAUGAGGAAUACGAGAAAAAUAAUGUUGAUAACAGCCACCUUCUUCCAAUCCCUCCUGAGGUUGUCCAGCAAUCCAGCUUUGCAAGAGUUGCAGUUAAAGCAGAGAACAUCUGUUUGAUUAUCCCAUGCAUUACAGUCAGGAUCGGAGGUGGAAUUUGUAGGCGUCUUCUCCCAGUUAAUCGGUGAUUUAUAAAGAAAGCCACAGCUAUCUGAUGGCUUACAGCAGCCAGCCUGCCAAAACAAUAAAGAAACAUCAGAACCCAGUGUAGUGUUAUGAACACUUCAUGAAGAAGAAGUCUACUGCAAUAAUAACUACAUACAUGUCAGGGUUCAUAGAACACUAUUUACCAAACGUUCAUAGAAACAAUUGAAGAACUACACAAAAAUUAUAUGUCAAAUAAAUAAAUUAUCUAAGGGUAAUAAUAACCCCUUUGGAUAAAGAAAUGAAUAUCCAUUUUCUUGUCCCAGGGUAAUCAGAACCACCGGCGCACACAAAAAUAAAACCGCAACAGCUCAGUUCAUACGGCCCGUGAAAGGCCAUCGAGGAAUAGAGACCCCCUACUGGCCCAUACAAAAACAAUUAGUAGAUGAUAAAAAUAUUAAUGAUCAAAGGUAAUUAACCAUAAUGAUUGAGGAAUAAAAGAGGGUCAUUUCCCCCAACUCAUUACAACUCAAGCACAAGGUAAAGCUAAGAAAAAAUGGGGUAAUUUCACAUAUCAGCACACAGGAAGGAUCACUAGCCACAGAAUCCCAGCAAAGGAUACUGUAAAAGAUAAAAGAAAUGAGAACAAAUGAUAUAUAUAUAUAAUUCACCACAAAGAAUCAUAUUCUUCAUACAGUAACCUAAAAGUGUUCUUGCUUUCCUUUCUAAAGCUAUAAUAAACUAGAAACAACUGCGAAUAAUCCUAAAAUAAUAAAGAAAGAGAGAGAAAUAAUUGAAAAAAUCCCUUAUUCCUAUAUCACAAAGAAUAAAGCUUUUUUUUUGUCAUUAUGAUAAUACUGAUCAAAAUUAUUAAUCACAACAUUCUUAAUCCACAAUUACACACAGAAAAUUGUACUGACAUCUAACGACGACCAGUAACCCAUCAUGACUCACGAGUGCCAUCUCGUUUCUUCAAUAGGAAAGAAAAAUACUAAUGUUAAAAAUUAUCAUCGUAGAUUUAACAUUAUUUCUUUUUAACAACAAAAACUUAGAUCUAACAAAAAAAAAGAAAAACCGCAAAGUCAAACAAUAAUCAAAAGCAUAAAAAAAAAAGAUAAAAAAAAUACCUGAAGAGCAGACAGAUGGCGGGUAUACAAGACUUCAACAGUAUCAUUCGCGAAUUUCUGGUUAAAAUCACUGCAAACUUUAGCAUCAAUCAAACAACUCUUGAUCUUCCUCCAGUUCUUCUGAUUGCCCACUCUCUUCUGCAACCAAUUUGAAUAAUCUCCCAACUUAUACUCCUUAUACCCCUUCCCGGACAAAACUUGACCGGCACCUUUAUUGGUCACGACAAAAGCGAAAAUCGUGAAGCAGAAGAGCAAGACGAUGAGGAGAAACAUGACUAGGAGGUAAGCCCAGAGAAGCCAUGACACGCGACAACACGCGCCAAUUAGGCCAGCUAGAGAGACUAGUAAGAGAAAGAUACCCAAGAUAAUAACUGGGGUGUCGAAGAACUUAUCACAUUCUGAUGUCCCUUUGUUUUUUAACCAUAUCCCUGCCCACAGGAUGGGGAUUGAGAGCAGGAAGGUUAUGAAAUUCAGGAUUCCUACCAAGUUGUUGCUUAAACGAAACAUUGUUCUUCUUGUUUGGUUGCGGAGAUGAUACAGAAAAGAAAGGAGCGUUUGUUGGGUUUUGAUAGGAAGAGGGGAGAAGGCUAUUUAUAAUGACAAGUGAUGGAGGAGGGGGGGGAUGAUGGGGGAGGAGGUUGCAGGGAAGGUUCUUCUAUUUAGCCUCGGAGGUUACGGCUACACGCGCUAAAGGACGCGUAUUAAUUGAGUCACGCGUGGUUAGUUGAAAGGCGUAGGGUUUCUUAUUAUUAUAUAUUUUGUUUUUUAAUAUUACAACCCUCAACGGAUACAAAGAGUAGCGGUCAACGUGUAUGGAUGUGACAGUUUAGUAAUUAGCACAGCUAUAUGUUUCAAAAACUUUUUAACCUAGUUAUCUCUUCUUUUUAAUUAAUUAAUUAGUGUAAAUCCUUCUUUAAUGCUUGGUGUUUUAUUUAGAUUUUAUUCUGAAUUUAUCUUCUUUCUUUCUUGUGCAUAUCUUGAAAAAUCUAAUGUAAUUUUUCAUUAAUUGCAUGUUUUUUUUUUAUGGUAGAAAAGUGCUUUAGCAAAAACAAAUUAUUUUUACUUUAUUUUUUUAUGUGUUUUUAGAUAGUUUUAACAAACUUGUGUUAAAAAUAAAUUUUAAAAAAUAAAAAAUAUAUUAUUUUAAAUUAUUUUCAAACAAAAACAUUUUGAAAAACCAUUGAUAUUAUAUUAUAAUAUUAAACGAGCUAUAAAUCACUUCUAAUUUUAUAAUAAUCAAUAUAAAUUUAUGACUUUAUAUGAUAAAAUAAAUAAAUACAUUGUAGUUUUUCAAAAUAAAUACUGCAUUGAAAUUUGUUUCAUUACAUUUAAAAUAUUCAUUCUUUUUUUAAGAAUGAUAAUAUAUAAUUUUAUUUUUUUAUUUGGAUAAAAUCUUUUUCGUUAAUUACAAUGCAAAUCUAAAUACGAAAUAGCUGUAAAAUAAUUGAUUUUUAUUAUUAAGAAAAAUAUUACUCACAAAAUGUGUCUAUGAACAAAAAUACCAAAGAAAGAAUUAGUUGUUCAAGACAAAAUAAAAAUAAGAAAGGAUUACAUAUUAAUUAUUAGCCAAAUACAUGUUUUACAAAUUACAAUAAUGAAAUGAUAAAGUCUUCCUUUUAAAAGCAAUUAAUAAAAUAAAGUUUCAGAGGGAGCCGUUAGGUAGCAGUCUUCUGGUGACCCCGUGGGCUAUACUACCAACAUGCGCUCGUCACGUGUCACCCAUCGCGGCUUGUCGGCGUGGUAACUAUGAAUGAGGGGUAACCGGCAUGUCCCACACGCGUCCACUUCUAAAUCAGGCAAAUUAUUAUUACUAUUUUUUGCUAUUUAUGAUGAUAAAAAUCCUAAAUCAGUCAAUGUAUAACCGCGUUUACUGAGAAAAGGGGGUGAACUCAUGUUUUGCGUUUGCAACAAUUCCUGUAUUCUUUCUUGCUUUUUCUACCCUUUUUUUUUUUUUUAAUGUUUAAAAAGAUGAUAGUGAUUUUUUUAUUUAAAAAUAUAUUAAAAUAAUAUAUUUUUUAUUUGUUUAAAAUUAUUUUUGAUAUUAAUACAUAAAAAUAUAUAAAAAUUCCAAAAAAAUAUGAAUUUAAAGUAAAAAAAAACUUAAUUUUUUUUAAAAAUACUUUUAAAAUACAAAAACAAACUGAAUUCUUUCAUACUGUUAAGCGAUUGGCUGAGAAUGAGAUAUUCAAAUUGUCCAUCAUCAUCUUCUUCUUCUUCUUUUUCAAAACCAAGCAGUUCCCAACACCACGAAAGUCAUGCAACCAACGAAGAAAUUAGGUAAAAUGUUAGCAAUAAUUCUCGACAAGAAGGGAUGGCUGGCUUUACUUCAAUGUCCACACGGUCACGGCAUUUUAUGGAUUCUAGCUAUGUUUGACCCGUGUUUUUCGUGGAUUAAAUAUUUUUAAUUUUUAUAAAAAUAUUAUUUACACAUGUAGUUAAAUAAAUUAAAAAAUAUAUGUGUUAAUAAAUCGAUAAAAAAUUAUUAAUAAUAUCUAAAAACAAAACUUGAAAAACCGAGAGAUAAAUAUAGAUCAAAAUAUUGAAUUUUGAAAAAUAAAAAAUUAAAUUGAUUGAAUAAAUUAAAAAGAAAAAAAAAUAACAUGUAAGGCUACACAUAUUAAAAAUAUCAUCUAAAAAUAAAUAUUUUUUAUUUUAAAAAACAUAGUUUAUCUAUAUAAAAGAUAAAAACAAAAUCAUAAAUGAACCACAAAAACCACUCCGAAAAUUAAACACAUAACAAAAAAAUCAAUAUUUUUUAAACAAAGCACCUGAAUAAAAUAAAAGAGAUGAGGUUUUGUCUAUUUCUUUUCAAUUGCAUCCGUUAAAGUUAUAUUUUCAUGGCAAUCAUAAUUAUCAAACUCGGCCUGGGGGUUGACUUGAUCAAGGGGUCAGGUCACAGGUUACAUGGGUUGACUCUGGUCAACCUGAAAAAAUUAGAAAAAAAAUUGAGAUUUUAAUAUUUUAUAUGAAAAAAUUAAGAAAUAAUCUAUGUGGAUAUAAGUUAUACAUAUUGUAAACAAUUAAGUUUAAAAGAUUAUUUCAAAAGAUUUUUUAUCUCAUAUUCGAAAAAUAUUUUUUUCUCUUGUGAAGAUAGAGUAUAUAUACUAAAAGGCUUCAAAUCACACAUUGCAAAAAUAAAACAUUCUUCAAUUAUUUAUAUACUAAACUUUAAAAUGACUCGGUAACAAAUUGAAAAAUUUGAGAAAAAAUAGCCUCUGAGUAGGAUAAAAAACACAUUUGUAAAAACAAAAAAGGGGUCUCUACUGGGGGUCGACUAGUUUACUCCGGGUCAAUAUCAAACCUGAAUUUUGAAUUAAACAGACCUGGCCAAGGCCCAGGGUCACCCAUAAAAAUUUUAAAAAAAUAUUUGAUGUUUUAAUAUUUGAUAUGAAAAAUUAAAAAACAAUCCAUGUGGAUAUAGGCUAUACGUGGUGUAAAUAAUUAAGUUUAAAAGAUUUUUUCAAAAGAUUUUUUUAUCUCACAUUGGAAAGAUACUAUCUUAUUCUUCUAAGUUGAAGUAUUUAAACCAAAAAGAUUUAUUAUCUCACAUUGAAAAAAUAUAAUUUUUUUCUUGUGAACAUAGAGUAUAUAUAUCAAAGGGUUUUAAAUCCCACAUUGAAAAAAUAAAAUAUUUUUCAAGUAUUUAUAUAGCGAACUUUGAAAUGAGUUAGUAACCAACUGAAAAAUAUAAAAAAAAAAAGUCUCUGGGUAGGAGAAAAAACACUUUUGAGAAAAAAGGUCUCUGCCAGGUUUUUGUCGGGUCUCUCAAGUUUCGGGUUGAUCCGACAGGUCUACCAGUUUACUCCGAGCCAAUUAUAAGACUAAAUUUUGAAUGAACCAGAUCCUGCCAACGUCAUUAGGUCGUGGUGGCGGCAGGGCCCAAUGUUAUUGGGUCUUAGUGGGAAGUAGGGCCCAACACUAUUGGUUUUGCUGGCAGCAGGGUCCAACUCUAUUGGGUCCUGCUGGGAGGCAGGGCUCAUCGCUAUUGGGUCCUACUGAGCAGCACAACCCAACUCUAUUGGAAGAAAAGAUAUUCAACUAGCCCAACCUCAAAUGAAAAAAAAUUAUCAUCACCCAACUUUUGUACAAUAUAAAAAAAAUCCCAUCAAUUUAUUUCCUCUUUAUCGUAUGAAAAAAAAUUACCUAAGAGAAAAGAAAAAAAUCUAAAGAGAAAAAAAAACUAAACAUAUGUGGGUCUGGCUGUGAGUCAGACUCAAUAGCGUUGGGUCUGGCUGACAAGUCAGACCUAGAAGCUUUUGGCACAGAAAACACAAAAUACAACGCCCCCAGUAGCACUUUUUGACAAAAAAAAUAGCAAAGACAACGCCCUCAUGACGCUACAGCGUGGCUCAUAAUAUAAACACUUUAUGUCUACAGUGUGAUUCACAAUGCAAUGAGUCUGUGUCCACAGUAAAUAUACAAUAUUUUUCCCAUGCCUUUUAAAGUAUAGUAUAAUAUUGGUAUGAAUAAAUGUGUUUUUAAAUUUUAAAAAUAUAUUGGUUUGUAAGUGUUAUUUUCAUUAUAAAUAUCAGUUGAUACUGGUAAAAAAUUAUUAGAAAACAAUCUUCUUCUUUGCCUAUUCUUUUCUCUACAAACUCUUUAAUUAUGUUUAUCAUAAACAUAAUAGAAGUUCUUGAGAAAUUUAUAGAAGUUUAUGUCUAUAAGUUUCAAGGAUUUUCUAUAUCAUGAAGGUAUAUUAUAUUAAUUCUACAACAAAUAUAGUGGAGGCAAUUAAUAUCUUAAAGAUAGUGAUAUUCUCGUCUCCAAGUCUGUUUAUAUACCACUAACUUAACAAAUUUAAGGUAUUAAUCCGCAAUGAAAUCCAAGACUAUGAUGAAUCAAGAGUUUGUGAAGCAAGAUCGUUUUGAUGGAAUGAAUUUUGUUUGUUGAAAAGACAAGAUGAUGUUCUUGUUUACUACUUUAAAGAUCUCUUACAUCCUUGAUCUGAAUCCGCCUAAAAUUUCUACAUCUACAUUUAAAAACAAUUAUCAAUUGAAGGCAGAUCAUAAGAAACAAAAUGAAGAUGAAUGGUUGUGCAGAGGCCACAUUCUCAAUAAUUUUUCAAAUUAUUUGUAUGAUUUUUUUACAUCUAUAAAGUCUUUCGCAUGAAAUCUGAAAGUCAUUGGAAUACAAAUACAACACCAAAAAAACAAGGCUCCUUUUUAUAUAUAUAUAUAUAUAUAUAUAUAUUAAUUAAUGAUGCAUGACACAUCCUAUCAGUUAUUCAAUUAAUUUGAUUAAAGGAUUGGCUUUUAAAUUCUAUAAAUGUAUUGGUAUGAAAAGAUAUGUUUUUAAAUUUUAUAGACACAUGGGUAUGAAAGAGUAUUAUUUUUCUUUUAAAUAUUAAUUUGAUAACAACAAAAAUCAAUUCAAAAACAAUCUUCUUCUUCUUCUUCUUCUUAUUUUUUCCUUACAAGCUAUUUGUUUAUAUUUAUAUCACAAACAAAAUAAUAAUUUUUAAUAAAUUUAUAGAAGUUGUUGUCAUUCGAUUUUAAGACUUUAUUAUAUACUAAAUGUAUAUUAUUUUAACUCUACAAAAAAAUAUAAUAAAAAAAUUAAUACUUUAAAAAUCAUAAUCUUCAUAUCUCUAAAUCUGUUUUCUAUGCCCACAUUUGAUGCAAUUAAAAGGUAGAGAGACUUUAUCUUAAUGUUUGUGUUCGGUGCACUGAAAAAUAUACGUUCCUUAUCGGAUGCUAUUUGAGCAAGAAAAGGAAAUAAAGUUGAAUAAUUUGAUUUUUGAAUCUCAGCAAUUUGGCCCUCUUGUUUUUUUUUUUUAAUGUUUUUUCUCAUGUCGUCUCCUUACCAAGUCAUUUUUUAGCAAUUUGAUCUUUUCACACAAAGCACUCACCUGCUUUGGCUAGCACUCUAAGAAAUAUAAAUAAAUAAUUAUAAGGUUAAGAAAGAGGACUGACGAAGAACAUGUGGAGCUGUGGAAUUGUAGAUUGUACUCAUCAAAGAAAAAGAAACGCUAAUGUACAAGGUUAUGUGCAAGUUUCACAUGCACUGCUAACCCAUAUACUAAUAUUUUCCAAAAAUACAGAGACGGAAAUUGCCUAGAAACUUACAAUGCCGCGUUUAGCUCCAGAAAUACGAUGGUCCUGCUCUAGAACUUGAAGGGUAUAAUAUAUUUUACCAGAUUUAUUUAUUUAUCUAUUUUGAACAGCACAUUUAUAAAUUUUAUAACUACAGUGCCUCUUUCUUCAAAAAGAGAAGCACACAGGGCCAUGGCAGACGGAGGGUGGAGAUCCCAAUGUGAGAAUACCUCUUUCGAACCGGAUGACAUUUUGGACCAAGAACUAGUUUUGUGACCUCUUCUGCGUCAGGUGGCCAGUCAACAUAUUGCCCCUGCAUCUUGCACUUGUUUAUUACUCAAGCUCAACCUCCCCUCUCUCUCCUUUCCUUCCUCUUGUUCUUUCUUUUAAUCUAUUUUUGUUAUAUGCUAACCAUUCCAUGACGGUUUUGCAGGCUCUGCCAUUAUAUAUUGCCACAAUCCACAUGAUCUCCUCACAGAGACAGAGCAUUGAAGCAAAUAAGGAGCCAGUAAGCUACGGAAAUCACGUUCUAUGCACAUUGUGAAUGUCAUUGUCAGCGAGACAGCGCUAUAUGAUAUCCAUGUAAAAAUUUCAUUUUAUAUGAAAGAAGCCUUUUUGCCCCUCUGUGAUAAUUUGUCACGAGGCAGCGUGGUGGUGUUGCGCAUACUAUAUACUCGUAUGGCUUGUUUCCGAUGCUCUGUUCCUGCAAAUUAUGACAAUCUAGCUAGAGUAGUUUAACAGUAUAAUAAAUCAUAUCCCCGCUCGACAAUAAAGGAAAUCCCAAUAUUUUCCCAGUAAUCACUUGAUGUUUAAUUAAGCCAAAUGAACCUUCUUAACAUGAUCACAUGGCAUUUGAUGCUUUGGUCAAUCUGUCAGUGAGAGCAACCUUUUAAGAAGAAGGUUCUGAUUUUCUGUUAAUGCUUUGAAUAUCACCAUACAUCUCUAGCUUUAUGGCUGUAGAAGCAAUAGUUAUAUUGUUGAGCAGAGCUCCCGAGAAUCUUUGAUGCAAAUUAAAGGUAACAAGUUGACAUGCGUAGAUUAGUGGCGCUGAUUAAGAAAAUUACUAUCCCGUCACGUCAAGGUAAGCAAAAUUGGAAUGGAAGCAACUAGCAAGUAAAGUAGAGGUGGUUGGUGAUGGUGGUUGUUGCUGAUCCACCAGCAAGGACGAUAGCUUUUGUUUGCAAACUCUUCUUCUAUGAGGACUGGUAAUCAAAUUGCUUCACUUUAUCGCCUAAGACGAUUUUCAUUUUUCAUCGUAUUAAUUAUAUGAGGUUAUUUAAUUGGAGCAUGAUUAACAGACAAUAGGACAGCUCCCCCCACUUUGACCAAGGAAUUUUUUGUUUCUUUGUUUGUGUAAUGCUUGAAUUCCUUAGAUACAUACCUCUUACGAGCAUACGGUAAUGGUAGCCAAAUUAAAUGUCAACAUCCGACCACGGAUUCAGCACUGAAAUUUAACACACAAUCCACAGAUAUGGCUUGGCCCCAUUCUUCAAUCCAUCUCUCUAAUAAAUAAUUAUACCUAAUAUCGAACCAUCCACAAGAAUCAAAAGGGAGGCACCCUGGCUGGUUCCAAAACUUCAAGGUUUUAGACUUCCGCCAAAGCAGGGCCUCCCUUCCCCCUGAGAAGUCUGUAUUCGGUCUCGGCUCCAGCAUACAGUUGCUGCAUUUUACCUCAGCCAAUUCCAUUCCUGAACUUAUGCUAAAUGUCCAUCAAAAAUACAAAAACUUAGGCUAACGACUACAAUGGUGACAAAGUAAAAGCAUUGCUAAGCAAUCGUAAACACCCUGGUUGCUGUUCUAGCUUCUUGUCCUUUCCACCAAAUCCUCAAAUAGCCAUCUCAGGCUUGUUGAUAUCCUAUUCUAGAUUCCAGAGAAAUCCACCCCAAACUCCAUGAUAGAACCAUUUUGACCUCAUAAUAUGUAUAUUUUUUAAGUUCUAAUAAUCAACAAGGUAUUCCAGAACCAUUCACUGUCAACACACUCAAAGGUUGCACCCCUAACAGUGAAGAAGAACAAUUAACAGUACAAUGAAAAUAAACAAAUUAGAAACCAGCACAAAUAUCCGCAAUAAUUCAUGUCAACAAACUGACAAGGAAUUCCAAACAGUGCCUUAUUAAUUCAUAGUCAAAGCACAACCACAAAUGUAGCUAGAAGAAAAUGAGAAGACAAAUACAGCCAGAGACUGUGCAGCUCGCUGAUGUGAGAUCAAAGGGGACCUGGAAAUGUUCCAUUCUCCCUCUGCUCAUUCCACCUCUCGACCUGCAGCAAUUCAUUCACAUGAAAAAGAAAGAAACAAUGGUCAAUUACAAUGCUAAAUUUUUUUAUUGACUCUAAAUGCAAAUCGCUGCCACUUCAAGCACUAAAGACAAUAUUCUACAAAACAGAUUCCAUUUAAGAGGCUGAAAUAUAUAAUAGACCAAUUAUGGUAUAUUCCAAGACAACAUCUCACUGACUACUGACACCGCAGAGAGAUGACAUACCAAAUUUGAGUCAAAGUUAAAGUAGUAGAAGGUAUGAUUCAAUAUACAAGAGUGAUGAACAUAGCAUUGCAGCAUUAAUCAAGAACAGACUAAGUCAGCACAUAAAAUAUUCUGUCUUAUAAACUUUUCAUUCAAUCCUAAACUAUAUCUUACCACUGACUGGAUGCUUCCACAUUCUAAGUAAUGGCAUGUUAAAGCACCAAAUGCAGAGAUAUUCUGUUUACGUGUAAUCUAGGCCCAAAUAUUUGUCUAUGUUGGCCAAGGAAUGAAAGAAAAUAGGUCAUGCAAAAAUAUCUCUAUUACAGUCUCAGAUUCAUAAUUCAUCAAUCAGAUACUAACAAGCGUAAUCAACAUGGAGCUUUACUUGGUAAUUUUACUUUUCUUAUUAGUCUAAAAAUCCUGAUGCCAUUUGGAUUAAAUAUUAGUCAUAUAACUUUCUGGGGAUUCUUUUUCCAAUAAGGAUUAGGAUUUAGACCUAGUACUAGUAUAAAUAAAGCUGCCUAGCUUAUUUUUCAGACAUGUUUUGUAUAUUAUCGAUCAUAAUAUGUUUAAAAGGUUGUCUACAAACCCUAAACCAAUUGUUCCAGUUCCAAGUUCAAUUUUUUUCUAGUUUUUGCCAUCAAUUUAUUGUUCUUUGUUGUUUUGAGUUGAUUUCUCUUCCCACACUACAUCACUAAUUAUACUCUUGAGAAAUUGACCAACAAGCUGUCAAACUUAAACUUUUAUAGAUAGAACAGCAAAUAUAGAUGGCUUGUUGUUCUGCACAGAUGACAAAUGUGGAGAGCAUGAUGUUUGAGAGGUGAAAUGGGUUUCUAACAUAAAGGCAAGCUUGUCUGAUUUCUCAAUACUGUAAAUAAGCUCGUAAAACUGGUAUCAGUGUAUUCCGAUAGCAAAUAGGAGUAAUACAGUUUAAAAAAAAUUUGGCAAUGUCGUUAAACACACCACAUCAUGUAGCAUCAGACAGGCGUGUUUGCAUUUAGCCUGACUCCCAAACCAUGAAUGAUGCAAUAACAUUCACGAUAAUGCUACAAUGCAAAGAUGACAUCCCACAUGAAUAAAAAAACCACUUAAAUUAAUUCUAAAUUCAAUAAUUUGCUGUUUUUACUAGCAAACUUUCAUUGAAAAUCAUUUGCCAACAUUUUACAGAGAACUACAGUAUAUUAAAAAAAAAAUGUCCUUGGCAGAUCAUAAAUUAAUUGAGACAAAAAAAAAAAGAGGCUCAGUAUACUCACCCACUCAGAGGGACAAAGGGAACGGUAGUAUUUAGCAAAACGCUCGCAAUCAUUUCCUUCAUCACCCUUCGCUGCCACACACCUG